ensembl:snRNA U1 U1 spliceosomal RNA
AUACUUACCUGGCAGGGGAGAUACCAGGAUCACAAAGGUGGUUUUCCCAGAGCGAGGCUUUCCCAUUGCACUCUGGAUGUACUGACCCCUGCGAUUUCCCCGAAUGUGGUAAACUCCACUGCGUAAUUUGUGGUAGUGGGGGACUGCGUUCCCACUCUCCCUAA